GUGUGUGUGUGUGUGUGUGCUGGAUGAUGUGUGUGUGAGUGCUGGAUGAUGGGUGUGUGUGUGUGCUGGAUGAUGGGUGUGUGAGUGCUGGAUGAUGGGUGUGUGAGUGCUGGAUGAUGUGUGUGUGUGAGUGCUGGAUGAUGUGUGUGUGUGUGUGCUGGAUGAUGUGUGUGUGUGUGAGUGCUGGAUGAUGGGUGUGUGUGUGCUGGAUGAUGGGUGUGUG